AAUGAACGCUAGUAGUAUGCUUAACACAUGCAAGUCGGACGAAAGUUUUACACUUUCGUGGCGUACGGGUGAGUAAAUGCAGAAUUCUUCCUUCCAGUUCAGUACAAAAUUGCUUCUAGUAAUAAAUUCUGAAUAUUUUUAAAGGUUUAUUCCGCUGAAAGAUGAAUCUGCUUAAGAUUAGGUUGUUGGUAAUUUAAAAGCUUACCAAGCCGAUGAUCUUUAGUUGGUCUGAGAGGAUGAUCAACCACACUGGAACUGAAACAAGGUCCAGGCUAAUUCGUUGGCCAGCAGUGAGGAAUAUUGGAGUCAAUGAACGAAAGUUUGAUCCAGC
rnacentral:rRNA from 1 species